CCGGGGCACAAAGGCGGCGGCGGCCGCUGGCCCUGGGAGCCGGCGCGGAGCGGAGGGAGGGCGGCGGGAGCCCGGUAACGAUCGUAACGGAAGGACCGCCGGGGGAAAGGGGCACCGCGGCCUCCUGCAGCAGCCCCACGGCCACGGCUCGGCUCCAAACCGCGGUCCCGGCGCGGAGCAGGAAAACAGCAGCGGAAAGAACGAGAUGAGCAGAACCAAGCUGUGGGAUGCUUCCUAUCGGGACACCCGUUUCAACCUGCUCAUUCCUAAAACACACAGAGUGAGUCACAGCUCUGUCUAUAAAUCUGCACAAGCAUUUCCAUUCCCCAUCUCUGGCAAACAAACCCCUGGUGCCUCAACCCAACGUGCUGCCUGUUUUCACUUUGUCAAUGCGUUUUGUUUCCCCGUGGGGCUGGAACACCUGUGAUGAUGCAGAGGAAAUCAGCAUCCUUUGGCUGGGUGUUAUCAAAACAGGGGAAAUGCUCAGGCUGGGUGAUGACAAGUGGGGGACAGCACCUAAGGAGGCUGGAAAUGGGGUGACUGAGAGUGUUGCACUCUUUUAGUGGCAACACAUCACAAGAUAUGGGGGUGACAUACAGCAAGGAACAGAUUUUCACCUGCUUUUAUCCCAGAGUUUCUUGUUUUGGGGAGCGCAUGUAUUUCUGUGCCCUUUCCUCAUCUCCAGCUUCACAUUUUAAUUCUUUUCCUCCCCCCAGGAAUCCUUUACUACAAACCAGGUCUGACCCAGGGAAUGUGGGGCAGGACCAUGUUGCAAAUCACCAGACACAGUUACAAACUCUUAUUAAUUUAUCUCUUGCUCUUACAACAGAUAAUACAGAGCCGAUAAGACAUUUGCCUGUGUGUUCUUGUCCCUGGGAUAUGUAACAUGCUUUUAUGUUCUGAUCUGGCUCGCUUGAACGAGACUGCUGAAAACAGCACAGCCAGCAGCUGUGUGCAGGAGGAAACAAUGGACUUGCUUUUCCUUCACUGCAGAAUUGCAGCCUGGAGGUGAGGAAACUUUGCUUCGCUCACCAUAUUCCUCCCUAGCGCUGCGGCAGAGGAAAUAAAAGGCUCUUGUGUUCCUGUAUCCUCCCGGGCCAAGCCAAUUUACAUGUGAAUGCACUUUUAAAAUAAAAUUAAAGUCAAAGCUGUGGCCAGAA